GGGAGAGAAGACAGAGGGUGGGGGAGAAGUCGCCUUCUUCAUUGCUUCAAAACGCUAAUUCUCUCACUAUAAAAAACAGUAAAAUGACCGACGGAUUCGCCUGUCCUCUCCUAGCCUUACUCCGGAAUUUCCGUCGCCGUCUAAUUACGCUGCCGUUGCACGGUCGCCAUCACAAACCAAAGCCGUACCAGCUCGUCGUUCUCCUCUUUCUUGCACAGGUGUGCUUCGAUCUCCCUCUUGCCGUCGAAUUUGUUGGAUACUGUAUGUUUGCUCUGCUUUGAUUCGCUGUAAUUUAUUGUGAUUUUCUCUGAUUUGAUUUUGUAUGUUUUAUUGGAUCUAUGAUUUUCUUUUGUAUGCGAUGUUGAAUUUCCCUGCAAUAUAUUUUCACUUGCCCACAAUCAACUGCCUCUCCUUGCAUCACCAUAAAUUGAACCGGAGCAACCACAACCAACACUGAGAGUAAGAUGACAGUGAAUAGUUGUGCGUUCUGAUGUUGAAGAGAUCACCUAGUGGAUCAUGGAUGUAGUGGCUUAUGGGUGGAUGACACAUAGAGAAAAUGCCCGGACUUGUAGCCAUGGAUGCAAUAAGCGGAGACAGAGAAUUAGAUGAUGUUGAUGGAGAAUUCUUACCUUAUAAGGGAAGCUUUAGUCAUCAAAGGUCUCCAAGAAACAUGUUGAGUCCACAUAGUCCCCACAGUGAUUCCAUUGAUCUAUCUAUUGAUGGCAUAAUCGACACAUCAAUCGAACAGUUGUAUCACAAUGUCUGUGAAAUGCAGAGCUCUAAUCCCUCGCCCUCCUGGGCUAGUUUUUUGUCUUAUGGUGAGGAAUCGAGGAUUGAUUCAGAAUUGGGCCACCUUGUUGGAGAUAUUGGAGAAGUGGAGGUAAUAACGAAAGAAGUGGUGAUUGAAAAUAAAGGAGAUGGCAAUGUUAGUGGCUUCACUCCCAAGAAGGAUGCUAAUGGUUCUGUUGAUCAAAUCUCUGCAAACAAGGACAGAAGUCGAGCUGCAAGUCUUAAAAAGCAGCUUUUCCGCUUGCAAUCAGAUAUGGAGGCAUCUGCAAAAUCUAGUCCUAAGGGGAGAUCUCCCCGUGAGAAGCCUCCGCUUGAUAGGAGGUUUGAUAAGAAUAUGAGAAGGCCAAAUGCAGGUUUCCACACGAAGAAGCACAGGAAUUUUGGUUCCAUUGGAGCAAGAUUUCAGAGUGGAACUGCCGAUCCUCUGGAGACGGGAUUAGAUAACCCUGACCUUGGACUCUUCUUACUCAAGCAAACAAAGAAUAUGAUUUCUUCAGGCGAAAAUCCACAAAAGACUCUUGAAUUUGCUCUUCGGGCAACAAAAUCAUUUGAGGUUUGUGCAAAUGGAAAACCCAAUUUAGAGCUUGUCAUGUCCUUGCAUGUUUUGGCAGCGAUAUACUGCAGCUUAGGCCAAUAUAAUGAGGCAAUCCCUGUUCUUGAGCGAUCUAUUGAGAUCCCAGUAAUAGAGGAUGGCCAAAAUCAUGCACUUGCUAAAUUUGCUGGAUGCAUGCAGUUGGGUGAUACUUAUGCAAUGCUAAGCCAGAUGGAGAAUUCAAUUCUGUGUUAUACAGCUGGUUUGGAAAUCGAAAGGCAAGUCCUUGGAGAAACAGAUCCUCGAGUUGGGGAGACUUGCAGGUAUGUAGCCGAGGCUCAUGUUCAAGCAUUGCAAUUUGAUGAGGCUGAGAAGCUUUGUCAAAUGGCACUUGACAUCCACAGGGAGAAAGGUGGUCCUGCAUCGCUUGAAGAUGCAGCAGAUAGGAGGCUUAUGGGACUUAUAUCUGAAGCAAAAGGAGAGUAUGAAACUGCUCUUGAACAUUAUGUUUUAGCAAGCAUGUCCAUGGCGGCAAAUGGGCAGGACAUAGACGUCGCUUCAAUUGAUUGCAGCAUUGGAGAUGCAUAUUUAUCUUUGGCACGCUAUGAUGAGGCUAUUUUCGCUUAUCAGAAAGGACUUACAGUGUUCAAGUCAAGAAAAGGGGAGAAUCAUCCGGCAGUUGCUUCAGCUUUCGUACGCUUGGCUGAUUUGUAUAAUAGGAUAGGGAAGUUCAGGGAUUCUAAAAUUUAUUGCGAAAAUGCGCUUCGAAUUUAUGAAAAACACAAUCCUGGGAAUCCUAUAGAAGAGAUGGCCAGUGGAUUUAUUGAUAUUUCUGCUAUCUAUCAAUCUAUGAAUGAGUUUGAUCAGGCGCUAAAGUUACUUAAAAAUGCUUGGAAGAUAUAUGACAAUUCUCCUGGUCAACAAGGCACAAUUGCAGGAAUUGAAGCGCAGAUGGGAGUCAUGUACUACAUGAUGGGGAAUUAUGCUGAUUCUUACAAUACCUUCAAAAGUGCCAUCUUGAAGUUUCGAGCGUGUGGAGAAAAGAGAUCUGUAUUGUUUGGCAUUGCUUUGAAUCAAAUGGGUCUUGCCUGUGUGCAGUGUUUUGCGAUAAAUGAGGCUGCAGAUCUAUUUGAAGAGGCAAGAAGCAUUUUGGAGAAGGAAUAUGGACCUUAUCAUCCUGACACAUUAGGGGUCUACAGCAACCUAGCAGGCACCUAUGAUGCAAUGGGAAGGUUGGAUGAUGCCAUUGAAAUCUUGGACAGUGUUGUUGGUAUGAGGGAGGAGAAGCUAGGAACAGCAAAUCCUGAUGUGGAUGAUGAGAAGCGAAGGUUGGCCGAGUUGUUGAAAGAUGCAGGAAGAGUCCGGAACAGAAAAUCCAGGUCACUUGUAACCCUCCUUCACACACAACUUCAAAUUAUACAAGAUGAUGCCAUUGAGGUAUCAUAAUACCAAUUCUGCAUAUACUCGCACUUGUAAGAUACAUGUUAGACAAGAAUUAGUUUGUUGGUUUUGUUUCUAUUAGAUUCCUGUUGGAAUUAUGGGAAAAUAAUAAGUAAACGAAAGCACCAACAACAGGAAUCAGAAAUUUGUUUCAAGUGUUCUUUAUAUAAUGAUUUCCUUUUUUAGGGGUGUAGGGUGGGUCAAGCAACUAAACAAAUUAAAAAAAAAAAUGGUUGCAUUUAUACUUCAUUGUUGAUGGGAUUGAUGAAAUUUCCUUUGUCACAUUCUUUUUUGUAUGGCUUGAUCUUGAAUAAAGAAAGAAAUGUUGGAAUAUCAUUUUCUUCUACUGGUACACCAAACCGCACAUCAGAAUGCUUGUAAUUGCUUUUACCAUUUUGAUAAACUACUCAACUUUGAAGUUUUCUAUUUUACCUACUCAUGUCUUAUUUGCUUUGAAUGGAACUUCUGAACACAAAUGGUUAGGACUAUAGAUUUGACCAUUUGGGCGAUAGUAGUUUCUUAGUCACAUCAGAAUUGAGUUCAGAAAAAAUGGAAAAAGUGAGGGAAAAGAAUAAUAUGUUUGAAGUAAAGAGAGCGGAAAACCCCAUGUUAUUGAACUCAAUUUGGAGAUUGAUCAGAUAGAGGCUACAAAAAAAACCUCCUUUAGCUACAGAUUUCAAUCUGUCAAUAAUAAAUUAAAUUGCUGACAGAUUUAGUGACUGAUUGCUAAUGGAGGUUUGUUGCCAUCAUUACUGACAACAUUUCUGACUGAUGAGCGACACAAUUUAAGAUGUCUAGUGUGUCGCCGUCUGGGUGGCCAUCGCCGUCCUUGCCGCUAUCACUGUCUUCAUCGACUGCGCCAUCAUUUGCCUUCUCAGAAUUGCGAUAGUGCUUUUCUCUCUCAGUCUACUUGUGGACAGGAGCUCUCACCGUUGCGUCUCACACCCGUGCGUUCAUUUAGAACAAUUAAAGGUAAAUGAACUGAGCUAAAUCAUUCCCUUUCUCUACAACCUCUUUCUCUCUUUUGAUGAUACAUCCCAUUGUUCAUGAUAAGAACCUCAAUCCUCCAAGAGAUUUGAUAUGCAGUGUCAUUGGAGUCUAGCCAAAGGAGGAGAUAAUUGAGUCCCCAAACAGCGGAUUUAGACUCUUGAAACCCUUAAAUCAGAGUCGGAUGACCUGCAUAGGUGUGCUCAACGAGUAGAGGCACACCUGGCUAUGCAAACAGCUGCUUUAAUUGACGCCAUAGGCAGCAGUGGGGCAAAGUGACGACUAGCCAAUGAACAGAAUGUACUGCUUUCUUAUUUUGUCUGCAGAUUGGAGAUCUUCUCGUGGAUAAACUCUUCUUUCCAAUCCGAAGUUGAAGACGUUUCUACU
rnacentral:misc_RNA from 1 species